CGCCCUGCAACAAAUCACCUCUCGUGAGAUUUCAGUGUGAGACUUCUCCGUGAGCGAGACUUGUGUUUCCGGUCUCAGUGCGACAACAUUACAGUAAAUCGUUCCUACAGAGACUUGGAGUAACAACCUCAGCCUGUCAGUGGCAGGAACAGGCACUACUGACGGUAAUAGCUGCCCCAAAGGAUUCCACUGCAGCCGGGGCAGCUGAGGAGAGCUACUGCGCUGAUCUCGACACUUCUGGAUGUCGGGGGUGAUCUUACAGGGGAUGCUUCCCCUCCUGAGUCAUGUUAGUUCAUGUUUACAUCGGACGUCCCUCUGCUCCUGUAAGGCUGCACGGUCCAGGAUAGUGAUCCGCCACGAGGGGGAUGAAGAUCCAGGAAGUGACCGGAGAGCACGGCUAUCAAAUGUUUAACAGGGAGCGCUGAGGGGAGUCGGCGUUACCCCAGAGAUUUGUUUUAUCCCUACGGAAACUUUAUCCGAUUAAUGAAUGUCUCAGUAGUUAUUUUUCUAGUGGAAUAAACAAUAACAGCAUAAACUAAAAAAAAAAUAA